rnacentral:rRNA from 1 species
CACUGAAUGGGCUAGGGCAUACACCAAUGUACCAAACCCUAUCAAACUCCGAAUACCUUAUAUGUAAUCACAGCAGUCAGGCGGCGAGUGAUAAAAUCCGUCGUCAAGAGGGAAACAACCCAGACUACCAGCUAAGGUCCCUAAAUCUUACUUAAGUGGAAAACGAUGUGAAGUUACUUAAACAACCAGGAGGUUGGCUUAGAAGCAGCCAUCCUUUAAAGAAAGCGUAAUAGCUCACUGGUCUAGUGAUUUUGCGCGGAAAAUAUAACGGGGCUAAAGUAAGUACCGAAGCUGUAGACUUGCGCACAACUUAGAUUAUUUAAGUUUAGAAUAUGAGAAACUAAGUUAUAUGUUUAGUUAUAUUUUUACUGAUUUUUAUAGAGUAAAGAUAGAAAUAAAACUUAGUAAAAUCAGUAAAAAUAUUCUUAGACUAAAGUUAAGUAGUUUAAGUUGUGUGCAAGUGGUAGGAGAGCGUUCUAUUUGCGUCGAAGGUAUACCGGUAAGGAGUGCUGGAGCGAAUAGAAGUGAGCAUGCAGGCAUGAGUAGCGAUAAUUAAUGUGAGAAUCAUUAACGCCGUAAACCCAAGGUUUCCUACGCGAUGCUCGUCAUCGUAGGGUUAGUCGGGUCCUAAGUCGAGUCCGAAAGGGGUAGACGAUGGCAAAUUGGUUAAUAUUCCAAUACCAACAUUAGUGUGCGAUGGAAGGACGCUUAGGGCUAAGGGGGCUAGCGGAUGGAAGUGCUAGUCUAAGGUCGUAGGAGGUUAUACAGGCAAAUCCGUAUAACAAUACUCCGAGAACUGAAAGGCUUUUUGAAGUCUUCGGAUGGAUAGAAGAACCCCUGAUGCCGUCGAGCCAAGAAAAGUUUCUAAGUUUAGCUAAUGUUGCCCGUACCGUAAACCGACACAGGUGGGUGGGAUGAGUAUUCUAAGGCGCGUGGAAGAACUCUCUUUAAGGAACUCUGCAAAAUAGCACCGUAUCUUCGGUAUAAGGUGUGGUUCGCUUCGUAUUAGGAUUUACUCCGAAAGCGAAGAAACUUACAACAAAGAGUCCCUCCCGACUGUUUACCAAAAACACAGCACUCUGCUAACUCGUAAGAGGAUGUAUAGGGUGUGACGCCUGCCCGGUGCUCGAAGGUUAAUUGAUGGGGUUAGCAUUAGCGAAGCUCUUGAUCGAAGCCCGAGUAAACGGCGGCCGUAACUAUAACGGUCCUAAGGUAGCGAAAUUCCUUGUCGGUUAAAUACCGACCUGCAUGAAUGGCGUAACGAGAUGGGAGCUGUCUCAAAGAGGGAUCCAGUGAAAUUGUAGUGGAGGUGAAAAUUCCUCCUACCCGCGGCAAGACGGAAAGACCCCGUGGACCUUUACUACAGCUUGACACUGCUAUUUGGAUAAGAAUGUGCAGGAUAGGUGGGAGGCUUUGAGUAUAUGACGCCAGUUGUAUAUGAGCCAUUGUUGAGAUACCACUCUUUCUUAUUUGGGUAGCUAACCAGCUUGAGUUAUCCUCAAGUGGGACAAUGUCUGGUGGGUAGUUUGACUGGGGCGGUCGCCUCCCAAAUAAUAACGGAGGCUUACAAAGGUUGGCUCAGAACGGUUGGAAAUCGUUCGUAGAGUAUAAAGGUAUAAGCCAGCUUAACUGCAAGACAUACAAGUCAAGCAGAGACGAAAGUCGGUCUUAGUGAUCCGGUGGUUCUGUGUGGAAGGGCCAUCGCUCAAAGGAUAAAAGGUACCCCGGGGAUAACAGGCUGAUCUCCCCCAAGAGCUCACAUCGACGGGGAGGUUUGGCACCUCGAUGUCGGCUCAUCGCAUCCUGGGGCUGGAGCAGGUCCCAAGGGUAUGGCUGUUCGCCAUUUAAAGCGGUACGCGAGCUGGGUUCAGAACGUCGUGAGACAGUUCGGUCCCUAUCUGCCGUGGGCGUAAGAAGAUUGAAGAGAUUUGACCCUAGUACGAGAGGACCGGGUUGAACAAACCACUGGUGUAGCUGUUGUUCUGCCAAGAGCAUCGCAGCGUAGCUAAGUUUGGAAAGGAUAAACGCUGAAAGCAUCUAAGCGUGAAGCCAACUCUAAGAUGAAUCUUCUCUAAGCUCUCUAGAAGACUACUAGUUUGAUAGGCUGGGUGUGUAAUGGAUGAAAGUCCUUUAGCUGACCAGUACUAAUAGAGCGUUUGGCUUAUCUUU